rnacentral:rRNA from 1 species
UACGUAGGGUGCAAGCGUUGUCCGGAAUUAUUGGGCGUAAAGAGCUCGUAGGCGGUUUGUCGCGUCUGCUGUGAAAACUCGGGGCUUAACCCCGGGCCUGCAGUGGGUACGGGCAGACUAGAGUGCGGUAGGGGAGACUGGAAUUCCUGGUGUAGCGGUGAAAUGCGUAGAUAUCCGGAGGAACACCGGUGGCGAAGGCGGCUUCCUGGACCGACAUUGACGCUGAGGCGCGAAAGCUAGGGGAGCAAACGGG